rnacentral:rRNA from 1 species
AACGAACGCUGGCGGCAGGCUUAACACAUGCAAGUCGAGCGCCCCGCAAGGGGAGCGGCAGACGGGUGAGUAACGCGUGGGAACGUACCCUUUGCUACGGAAUAGCUCCGGGAAACUGGAAUUAAUACCGUAUGUGCCCUACGGGGGAAAGAUUUAUCGGCAAAGGAUCGGCCCGCGUUGGAUUAGCUAGUUGGUGGGGUAAUGGCCAACCAAGGCGACGAUCCAUAGCUGGUCUGAGAGGAUGAUCAGCCACAUUGGGACUGAGACACGGCCCAAACUCCCACGGGAGGCAGCAGUGGGGAAUAUUGGACAAUGGGCGCAAGCCUGAUCCAGCCAUGCCGCGUGAGUGAUGAAGGCCUUAGGGUUGUAAAGCUCUUUCACCGGAGAAGAUAAUGACGGUAUCCGGAGAAGAAGCCCCGGCUAACUUCGUGCCAGCCGCCGCGGUAACAC